CACGACCUGAGCCAAGAUCAAAAGUCAGACACUCAACCGACUGAGUCACCCAGUUACUCCUUUCUAAUGGCUGGAAUGUGGACAUGAUGGCUGGAGCACAAGCACCUACUUUAGACCAUGAGGAAACUUUGGGAAUGAAAACUACACACUGCAGAUCAACCAGAUAGAGCCUGGGUUCCUUGUUCGGUGCCCCAAGCCACCCUGAAAUCGCCGAGUGUGUCGCCUGGCUCCGCUCCUCUUCUGGGCCCCCUCCGCCAACCCCCAAGUGACCUGAUGGUGGUCCGAAGUCCCCUCUGAGUAACCCUGCCCCCAGCACUUCCCACCUGAGCUUUCACACUGGAUGGCCUCACAGCACUUGUAGGAGGGAGGUGCACCGUACUAGAGCAAGAUUCAGGAUGCCUCAAGCUGACACUUGACUCCGGUGGCUUCCACGGUCAUUCUCGGAGGGCGGCAGUCACAUCCGCUUCAUCUCUGGGAUCCCUUGAACACCAACCAGCAGAGGGUCUGGUACAAAAUAGGAGCUGAUGAAUAUCCAAUCAGCAGAGUUUAUUGAGGAUCUGCUACACACCAGGAAUAUUCUUUCAUGGCCCGAGAAGAGCUGUCUAUUUUUGGCAGGUGACGGCUUCCAGGGAAGGUCAGCUGAACAGAGCCUCUGGUCACAGUCUGCCUUCGGCUCUCCUGAGAGGGGACUGGAGCCUCUUCUGGAGAAGUCGGUGAGGUUAUGAAUGGGUCCUGAAAACCUGGGGCUCCCAGCAAGUCGAUGGCGAGUUUGGGUGCUGACUUUCCUGAACGGGUCUUCCAUUUGAGCAGGAGGAGAUAGACGUUGGAGGGGGGACAGCGGGCAGAGAGAAAGGGCAGCCCGCCCUCCACUGUUUGGCAAACGUGUGUUUACCAUGAGCGGACGCAGGAGCCUUGCCAAGGCCGAGGCCUCCACAGGUUAGAUUCAGCUAAAGCAAGGACCCGUCCAGUGGGCAAGGACUCGCGUGUCCAUUCUGUUAAUGGAAUCAGAGUUGGGACGAAGGAAGCAGGAAGCAUUUGGCUUCACAUUCUAGAGAAAGAAGACCCUACUGGGCUGCAGACUCCCCUCCAGGGGCUGUUGGAAAGCGGCUGGACCUCUUCUGCUUCUCCCCAGCCACUCUGCCACUGUGCCAGUUACCAGUUACUAGCAGGGACUGUGCAGUCACUGAAACCAGCACCCUAGGGAGGCCCAACUCUGGACACCAGCCACACAGAAAGGAGACGCCGACACCCCAAGGAGGUGAUUACGCCAGGGGGGCAGCGAAACACAGAGCCUCUCGUCUCUCCUCUCCCUCUCUUCCCACACGGCCUUCCCCCGCCGUGAGCGUUUGAUUAGCUGUGAGGUGUUUACCUUGUCACUAGAUGGAGCUGGGAACUGGGUCUUUUUGUAUCUGAAAGUCACCAGAAAGCCACAGGACUUGCCAAGAUGGUCGGAAGGGAUGGGAAGAGGAGGCUGAAGGUCGGAUUUAGGGGAAAAUGGCUACACCCCCUUCACUGAGCUGAGCACCUCGGGAGCCAGUGACCAGAGCAGCUUCCCCGAGGGCACCCAUUCUGUGUCCGGCGAGCCCAGCUGUGCAGGGGCCCUCGGUGAGGGGCGACACAGAAUCCAAGGGAUGAGUAGCUCCUGGAGUGAGGCUCAGCCCUUGUCCUUGCUGGAUACCAAGUGGCAACUGCUGUUGUCAUCAGGGAGCUCUCCUAGGUUGGCAACGCCAUCCAGGAAGUGCUAUCCCGGGGGGCCGCCCUCCCUCCUGCCCUCCUGUUGUCCCUCUCCAGCGUCAGGCCCCGGGCCAGAGGGAGCCGACAGCAAAGGUCCUUGGAACCCAGAGGAGCAAAUCCCCUGGACUCAGUGAGGAGUUGGGAGGUCCGGGCCAGGGUGGAGACACAAGGCGGUUCUGAGCCCAGACCUGGCUGAGGGCACAAGUUCAGGAGGCAGCAGGGUGGUUUCCCAUGCUGCUUUUGUAAGGCCUUGUAACUUAAGCCCCCCGUCUGCAGAGUGAAUAAAGGCGGACCUUUUUUCAGAGGUGUGUA